GGUGUUCCCUUCGGGGACGCUGAGACAGGUGGUGCAUGGCUGUCGUCAGCUCGUGUCGUGAGACGUUGGGUUAAGUCCCGCAACGAGCGCAACCCUUGUCAUUAGUUGCCAUCAUUAAGUUGGGCACUCUAAUGAGACUGCCGGUGACAAACCGGAGGAAGGUGGGGAUGACGUCAAGUCAUCAUGCCCCUUAUGACCUGGGCUACACACGUGCUACAAUGGACGGUACAACGAGAAGCGAACCUGCGAAGGCAAGCGGAUCUCUUAAAGCCGUUCUCAGUUCGGACUGUAGGCUGCAACUCGCCUACACGAAGCUGGAAUCGCUAGUAAUCGCGGAUCAGCACGCCGCGGUGAAUACGUUCCCGGGCCUUGUACACACCGCCCGUCACACCAUGAGAGUCUGUAACACCCAAAGCCGGUGGGAUAACCUUUAUAGGAGUCAGCCGUCUAAGGUAGGACAGAUGAUUAGGGUGAAGUCGUAACAAGGUAGCCGUAGGAGAAC
rnacentral:rRNA from 1 species